rnacentral:rRNA from 1 species
AUACGGAGGGUGCAAGCGUUAAUCGGAAUUACUGGGCGUAAAGCGUACGUAGGCGGUUCGUUAAGUUAGAUGUGAAAGCCCCGGGCUUAACCUGGGAACUGCAUUUAAAACUGGCGGACUAGAGUUGAGUAGAGGGGAGUGGAAUUUCAGGUGUAGCGGUGAAAUGCGUAUAGAUCUGAAGGAACACCAGUGGCGAAGGCGACUCCCUGGACUCGAACUGACGCUGAGGUACGAAAGCGUGGGUAGCAAACGGGAUUAGAUACCCUAGUAGUCC